GUCCAAGGCAGUCGGGUCGUCUUUCAGCAAAAGGCCAUACAGCACCACCCACUGGCUGAUAAACUUCACUACCUUCUGCUUGGCGUUGAGAACAUAAGCAGCCUUCUCCUGGUCCGAGCCCUCGGAGAGCUGUGCCUGGCUAAAUAUUAUCAUCAUCAUCAGCAGCAGCAGCAGCAGAACAGGGACGGUGACAGAGGGAGUGGCUGUAACAGGGAACAUCACCUCCGUUAUCAGUUUUUUAUUAAUGAUUGCAGGAUAUUGGUGCAGCAGAGCAGGACACAGCUGACUGGAGGGCAUGAACACCAUGUGGACUCUCCCUCAUGCGUGUCCUGUACCGUGUCUUGUGAUUUCACGAGUCACUCAGAUGGUUGCCUGUUUGUUCUUUGGAUUUCCCCACAGGCGUUAAUUUCUGCGGUGGACGUAAAAAUGAACAAAAUGUGAAAUGAAAAAAAGUGUUGAGACUUUGUCAACUCUCACAUUGUGUUUUCUUUGGUUGGAAGUUUUACAGUAUCUACUUGAGGUCGAUGCCUCCCGUGGUGUUCUACCAAAGUUCACGGCAUUAAAACACCGUGUUUUGACCCUGUGUGACCUGCUUUAUGACAACAACAAUCGUUUGCAUUUUCACGAGGGGAGGACGCUGUAACGCUUGCUUGUUACUUCGAGGUUCAUACGGGCCUGACAAAUAUCGUCCACAACUUUGAUGAAGUACUGGGAGCAACAGUGUUCGUGACACUGAGCUGGUUCCCAGACCUGACCACUGUAGAGUAAUGCCCUCAAUCGUCUCAUGUGCCCCAGUGAAGUUAUGUUUUCUCCAGAUCACAAGUGUUCCCAGGAGCUUAUAUUUUCUCUGGGAGUUACACAGCCACAUUCUCAGGCCUGUCAACCCGCUCCCCCCACACACACACCCACCGCUGCCCCCUGGUUGUCCUCUUGAUGAGGUAAUUUUCCACGUAGUAACCCAGAUCUGAGGAAAAAACAAUAUUGGAAACCGUACUUCAUGAAGGCGAAUCGCAAGAAAGUGCAACUGAUACUGAAGGAUGAAGAUGAGUGCGUGUGAAACACUGCUGUAAACCUGUUUUAUGGCCAGGGCUUGUUCUACUGAUGAGGUCAUUUUACAGUGGACUGUCCAUUACAGGCAGUCUACAGACGACUGAUGAGGAGUGUGCUGUCUUGUUAUUUGUGUGCCGUCAGGUAUUUGUUCAAACAUGCAUGUGAUGUCAACGUCACACACUCCAAACUUUCUUAUACAACCAGAACAAUGGUGACAAACGUAUCAGCAGAGCAGAUGUGCAGUGACAGGAACUGUUCUAAGACUUUAACCAGGGAUCCCUGUAAACUGUGGUGGUUGAAGGUUAGGUUCUUCUGUUGGAUACAGUUCCGUCUCCACUGUGGGACUGGGAACUUUGCUGAUUGUCCUGAACAAUAUGAAUCAGUCUGUACUGUGGUUGAUAGAACAUCCAGUACGGCGAGGAACACUUGCUAGGCAACCCAACAAAGCCUCAGGUGGUUGAUCACACCUGCCUCCCACAGACUCUUUCACUCCAUCUUAUCAAUUCCUUUGCUCUGGGACCAAAUGAAAAUCCCUGGGAGUCAUUUCUUAGAGAAUAAAAAAAGACUUUCUGUCAGUGUCCUCUGUAGGAGACAACAGGAAUUUCAAACACGAUCCGUUUCCCUCGUCGAACGUUACAUGGGUUUCAAAUGUUUUCCCUUUGACUCGCAGUUGA